rnacentral:rRNA from 1 species
GCUUAUGGCCACUCCGCCUGGUUCACGGCUGAUCUCGUUUGAUCUCUGAAGCUAAGAUAGGUUGGGCCUGGUUAGUACUUGGAUGGGAGACCGCCUGGGAAUACCAGGUGCUGUAAGCU